CCCUAAGAUAAAUGUUGCUCUGUCACGUUCACAAGUUGUUCUGACCAAUUCACCGAAGGUAACAAAGGGAGCCAGGAGGAUUAUGCUGUAAUUAGACUUCCAGACCCAUCCUGCUGGCACUUGUUCAUACUCAAUUUACACUGGAAAUGAGAGAAAAGGCAAUGCAGGAAGUGCUGGCUCCUUGGGUCACCCGAGCCCUUCAUAGAAAAGAUGCCAAAUGACUCCUUCCCAGUGUCAGUAAGUUCAGAGCAUUUACAGUUCAACGAUGGCAAAAAGAAGGAUACUACAAUUUUGGUGAGUCACCCAACCUCUGGAACACGGAGAAUGCUGGACCCCAGAGACCAAGAGUCAACAAAAGC